rnacentral:rRNA from 1 species
UUUAAAUAGCUGCAGUAUUUUAACUGUACUAAGGUAGCAUAAUAAUUAGUCUUUUAAUUGAGGUCUAGAAUGAAUGGUUUAACAAGAUAAUAACUUUAUUUAAUUAAUUAGUUUGAAUUUAAUUUUUUAGUUAAAAAGCUAAAAUUUUUAAAUGGGACGAUAAGACCCUAUAGAUCUUCAAAUUUUAAUAAAUAGAAUGGUUUUAGGUUAUUUGAGGUUUAAAAUUAAAAUUUUUUGUUGGGGUGACAAAUAAAAUUUUAAACCUUUAUUUUUAAUAAACAUUUAUUUAUGGUGAAGUUGAUCCUAAAUUUUGGACUAAAAGAUUUAGAUACCUUAGGGAUAACAGCGUAAUAAAUUUGAAUAGUUCAUAUAGAUAAAUUUGUUUACGACCUCGAUGUUGAAUUAAUGAAAAUUUUUGGAGUAGAAAAUAAAAUACA